UACCAGCACCCCCGAGUGGUCGGGACGAUUAUUGGGCCUAAAGCAUCCGUAGCCGGUCCUGCAAGUCUUCCGUUAAAUCCAGCUGCUCAACAGAUGGGCUGCGGGGGGAUACUACAUGCUAGGAGGCGGGAGAGGCAAGCGGUACUUUAUGGGUAGGGGUAAAAUCCGUUGAUCCAUAGAAGACCACCAGUGGCGAAGGCGGCUUGCCAGAACGCGCUCGACGGUGAGGGAUGAAAGCUGGGGGGAGCAAACCGG
rnacentral:rRNA from 1 species